rnacentral:rRNA from 1 species
AUUGAACGCUGGCGGCAUGCUUUACACAUGCAAGUCGAACGGUAACAGGUCUUCGGAUGCUGACGAGUGGCGAACGGGUGAGUAAUACAUCGGAACGUGCCUAGUAGUGGGGGAUAACUACUCGAAAGAGUAGCUAAUACCGCAUGAGAUCUACGGAUGAAAGCAGGGGACCUUCGGGCCUUGUGCUACUAGAGCGGCUGAUGGCAGAUUAGGUAGUUGGUGGGGUAAAGGCUUACCAAGCCUGCGAUCUGUAGCUGGUCUGAGAGGACGACCAGCCACACAGUGACUGAGACACCGCCCAGGCUCCUACGGGAGGCAGCAGUGGGGAAUGUUGGACAAUGGGCGAAAGCCUUAUCCAGCAAUGCCGCGUGCAGGAUGAAGGCCCUCGGGUUGUAAACUGCUUUUGUACGGAACGAAAAGCCUGGGGCUAAUAUCCCCGGGUCAUGACGGUACCGUAAGAAUAAGCACCGGCUAACUACGUGCCAGCCGCCGCCGUAAGAC